AUUGAACGCUGGCGGCAUGCCUUACACAUGCAAGUCGAACGGCAGCAUGGAGAGCUUGCUCUCUGAUGGCGAGUGGCGAACGGGUGAGUAAUGCAUCGGAACGUACCGUGUAAUGGGGGAUAACGUAGCGAAAGUUACGCUAAUACCGCAUACGACCUGAGGGUGAAAGCAGGGGAUCGCAAGACCUUGCGUUAUACGAGCGGCCGAUGUCAGAUUAGCUAGUUGGUGAGGUAAAGGCUCACCAAGGCGACGAUCUGUAGCGGGUCUGAGAGGAUGAGCCGCCACACUGGGACUGAGACACGGCCCAGACUCCUACGGGAGUCAGCAGUGGGGAAUUUUGGACAAUGGGGGCAACCCUGAUCCAGCCAUGCCGCGUGAGUGAAGAAGGCCUUCGGGUUGUAAAGCUCUUUCGGCCGGGAAGAAAUCGCACAGGCUAAUACUCUGUGUGGAUGACGGUACCGGCAUAAGAAGCACCGGCUAACUACGUGCCAGCAGCCGCAGUAA
rnacentral:rRNA from 1 species